CAAGUCGAACGGCAGCGCGGGCUUCGGCCUGGCGGCGAGUGGCGAACGGGUGAGUAAUAUAUCGGAACGUGCCCAAGAGUGGGGGAUAACGUAGCGAAAGUUACGCUAAUACCGCAUACGAUCUACGGAUGAAAGCAGGGGACCUUCGGGCCUUGUGCUCCUGGAGCGGCCGAUAUCUGAUUAGCUAGUUGGUGAGGUAAAGGCUCACCAAGGCGACGAUCAGUAGCUGGUCUGAGAGGACGACCAGCCACACUGGAACUGAGACACGGUCCAGACUCCUACGGGAGGCAGCAGUGGGGAAUUUUGGACAAUGGGGGCAACCCUGACCCAGCAAUGCCGCGUGAGUGAAGAAGGCCUUCGGGUUGUAAAGCUCUUUUGUCAGGGAAGAAAAGGUCGUGGCUAAUAUCCACGGCUCAUGACGGUACCUGAAGAAUAAGCACCGGCUAACUACGUGCCAGCAGCCGCGGUAAUACGUAGGGUGCAAGCGUUAAUCGGAAUUACUGGGCGUAAAGCGUGCGCAGGCGGUUUUGUAAGUCUGUCGUGAAAUCCCCGGGCUUAACCUGGGAAUGGCGAUGGAGACUGCAAGGCUAGAAUCUGGCAGAGGGGGGUAGAAUUCCACGUGUAGCAGUGAAAUGCGUAGAGAUGUGGAGGAACACCGAUGGCGAAGGCAGCCCCCUGGGCUAAGAUUGACGCUCAUGCACGAAAGCGUGGGGAGCAAACAGGAUUAGAUACCCUGGUAGUCCACGCCCUAAACGAUGUCUACUAGUUGUUGGGUCUUAAUUGACUUAGUAACGCAGCUAACGCGUGAAGUAGACCGCCUGGGGAGUACGGUCGCAGAUUAAAACUCAAAGGAAUUGACGGGGACCGCACAAGCGGUGGAUGAUGUGGAUUAAUUCGAUGCAC
rnacentral:rRNA from 1 species